rnacentral:ribozyme from 14 species
CCUUCUUGACCUAUUACUAUUCUUGAAGUUGACAUUUUUUUUUUUUUUUUAGUUGUUCGUUUUUCAUUCGUGAAACUUCGGUGUCCAUGGAUAAUAGCGGGAA